UUUUGCCACACAAAAGGAGGGAGUGAUUUCUAAACAUUAAAUCUCUGAUUUUUUUUCACAUACAGGAUUGAUUUCCAGAGACUUAUGUUACUUGAGGAAGACACCAAGAAGAGCAAAGAAAAGGAGCCAGGGAUGGCUCUUCCUCAGGGAUGCUUGACUUUCAGAGACGUGGCUAUAGAGUUCUCUUUGUUGGAGUGGAAAAGCCUGGACCCUGCACAGAACGCUUUAUACAGGGCUGUGAUGUGGGAGAACUACAGGAACCUGGAGUCUGUGGGUGAGGAAAAUGUCCCUCCGGCAUGAGGAAUCUGUCCUUGUGUAUCUUGGCUUUUCCUGGUUUUGUAUUCUCUUUUGUGAUUUUGCCCCAUACAUGCUUUUGAUGUACACAGCUGGGAUUCCAGGCACGUGCCACCAUGCCCGGCAUGUUAUUUUGUAUCUUUAGUGGAGAUAGGGUUUUGCCAUGUUGGCCAGGCUCGUCUCGAACUCCUGACCUCCAUACCCACCCGCCUCGGCCUCUAAAGUGCUGGGAUUACAGGCUUGAGCCACCGCACCUGGCAUUGUUCAUUUUUAACAAGAAAAGCUUUGUUCAGUUUGUUGUGGGAUCAACCCUGUAACAGUUACAGUUUUCAUA
rnacentral:lncRNA from 1 species